GAUCAUGGCUCAGAUUGAACGCUGGCGGCAUGCCUUACGCAUGCAAGUCGAACGGCAGCACGGGAGCAAUCCUGGCGGCGAGUGGCGAACGGGUGAGUAAUACAUCGGAACGUACCCAGAAGGUGGGGGAUAACGUAGCGAAAGUUACGCUAAUACCGCAUACGUUCUACGGAAGAAAGUGGGGGAUCGCAAGACCUCAUGCUUUUGGAGCGGCCGAUGUCUGAUUAGCUAGUUGGUGAGGUAAAGGCUCACCAAGGCGACGAUCAGUAGCUGGUCUGAGAGGACGACCAGCCACACUGGAACUGAGACACGGUCCAGACUCCGUACGGGAGGCAGCAGGUGGGGUAAUUUUGGACAAUGGGGGCAACCCUGAUCCAGCAAUGCCGCGUGAGUGAAGAAGGCCUUCGGGUUGUAAAGCUCUUUUGUCAGGGAAGAAACGGUUUUGGAUAAUACCCAAGGCUAAUGACGGUACCUGAAGAGUAAGCACCGACUAACUACGUG
rnacentral:rRNA from 1 species